GAGUGAACGCUGGCGGCAGGCCUAACACAUGCAAGUCGAGCGGCAGCGCGGGGGCAACCCUGGCGGCGAGCGGCGGACGGGUGAGGAAUUCGUCGGAAUCUGCCUUUUUGUGGGGGAUAACGUAGGGAAACUUACGCUAAUACCGCAUACGUCCUACGGGAGAAAGUGGGGGACCGCAAGGCCUCACGCAGAAAGAUGAGCCGACGACCGAUUAGCUAGUUGGUGGGGUAAAGGCCCACCAAGGCGACGAUCGGUAGCCGGUCUGAGAGGAUGAUCAGCCACACUGGGACUGAGACACGGCCCAGACUCCUACGGGAGGCAGCAGUGGGGAAUAUUGGACAAUGGGCGCAAGCCUGAUCCAGCCAUGCCGCGUGUGUGAAGAAGGCCUUCGGGUUGUAAAGCACUUUUGUCCGGAAAGAAAUCCCUGGAGCUAAUACCUUCGGGGGAUGACGGUACCGGAAGAAUAAGCACCGGCUAACUUCGUG
rnacentral:rRNA from 1 species